GUGUCAGCAGCCGCGGUAAUACGUAGGGGGCGAGCGUUGUCCGGAGUUACUGGGCGUAAAGCGCACGCAGGCGGUCUGUUAAGUUUGGAGUGACAGUUGGUGGCUCAACCACCAAAGUGCUUUGAAAACUGAUAGACUUGAGGGCUUCAGAGGGACACGGAAUUCCGGGUGGAGUGGUGAAAUGCGUAGAGAUCCGGAGGAACACCAAAGGCGAAGGCAGUGUCCUGGGGAGUACCUGACGCUCAGGUGCGAAAGCCAGGGGAGCGAACGGGAUUAGAUACCCCGGUAGUCC
rnacentral:rRNA from 1 species